rnacentral:lncRNA from 1 species
UCUGACGAAGUGCCAACGAAUGAAUUGCCACAUUGCACUCUGCAACCCCAGAUAUGACAGUUAGUUCUUUUUUUGUGUGUGUGUAAGCCAGAUGCCGCAAUUGAACAGUGUCAACUUUGGCGGGCGCACCACAAGGACCAUUUGCACGUACUCCUAUCGCGGACUAUUCCUGCCAGUCGUAGAUUCCGAGCCAUUCACCUGAUAUUUCCAUGACCUCUACUCCAAGUCAUCUCUCUGAG